rnacentral:SRP_RNA from 1 species
UCCAGGUGUGGUGGUGCAUGCCUGCAGUCCCAGAUUCUUGAGAGGCUGAAGUGGAAGGAUUGCUUGAGUGCAGGAGUUCUGGGCUGUAGUGUGCUGUCCAAUCUGGUGUCCACACUAAGUUCAGCAUCACUAUGGUGACCUCCUUGGAGCAGACCACCAGGUUGCCUAAGGAGGAAUAAAAGGACCCAGGUUGGAAAUGGAGCAGGUCAAAACUCCCAUGCUGUUCAGUAGUGGGACCACAGGUGUGAAUAGCUACUGCACCCCAGCCUAGGCAAUAAGCAAGGCCCUGUUUCG